rfam:Picea glauca, whole genome shotgun sequence.
GGGAGAGAUCAUACCAGCGUUAACGCACCGGAUCCCAUCAGAACUCCGCAGUUAAGCACGCUUGGGCUAGAGUAGUACUGUGAUGGGUGACCUCUCGGGAAGUCCUAGUGUUGCACCCU